GUGUGCAGUGCCCUGCCCAUCCAGGUGCAGUUCACUUAAAAUUGGUGUACUGUUCCUUGAAUGGGUAGUGUAAGGCUCA
rfam:TPA: Bos taurus chromosome X, whole genome shotgun sequence.